rnacentral:rRNA from 1 species
UACGAAGGGGGCUAGCGUUGCUCGGAAUUACUGGGCGUAAAGCGCACGUAGGCGGGUUGUUACGUCGGGGGUGAAAUCCUGGAGCUCAACUCCAGAACUGCCUUCGAAACUGACGAUCUUGAGUUCGGGAGAGGUGAGUGGAACUGCGAGUGUAGAGGUGAAAUUCGUAGAUAUUCGCAAGAACACCAGUGGCGAAGGCGGCUCACUGGCCCGAUACUGACGCUGAGGUGCGAAAGCGUGGGGAGCAAACAGG